AGUGAACGCUGGCGGUAGGCCUAACACAUGCAAGUCGAACGGCAGCACAGUAAGAGCUUGCUCUUACGGGUGGCGAGUGGCGGACGGGUGAGGAAUACAUCGGAAUCUACUUUUUCGGGGGGGAUAACGUAGGGAAACUGACGCUAAUACCGCAUACGACCUACGGGUGAAAGCAGGGGAUCUUCGGACCUUGCGCGAUUGAAUGAGCCGAUGUCGGAUUAGCUAGUUGGCGGGGUAAAGGCCCACCAAGGCGACGAUCCGUAGCUGGUCUGAGAGGAUGAUCAGCCACACUGGAACUGAGACACGGUCCAGACUCCUACGGGAGGCAGCAGUGGGGAAUAUUCGGCAAUGGGCGCAAGCCUGAUCCAGCCACACCGCGUGGGUGAAGAAGGCCUUCGGGUUGUAAAGCCCUUUUGUUGGGAAAGAAAAGCAGCAGGUUAAUACCCCGCUGUUCUGACGGUACCCAAAGAAUAAGCACCGGCUAACUUCGUG
rnacentral:rRNA from 1 species